GACGAACGCUGGCGGCGUGCUUAGCACAUGCAAGUCGAACGGAAAGGCCCUGCUUGCCGGGUACUCGAGUGGCGAACGGGUGAGUAACACGUGGGUGAUCUGCCCUGCACUUCGGGAUAAGCCUGGGAAACUGGGUCUAAUACCGGAUAGGAGCCAUUUUUAGUGUGAUGGUUGGAAAGUUUUUUCGGUGUAGGAUGAGCUCGCGGCCUAUCAGCUUGUUGGUGGGGUAAUGGCCUACCAAGGCGGCGACGGGUAGCCGGCCUGAGAGGGUGGACGGCCACAUUGGGACUGAGAUACGGCCCAGACUCCUACGGGAGGCAGCAGUGGGGAAUAUUGCACAAUGGGCGCAAGCCUGAUGCAGCGACGCCGCGUGGGGGAUGACGGCCUUCGGGUUGUAAACUCCUUUCGCUAGGGACGAAGCUUUUUGUGACGGUACCUAGAUAAGAAGCACCGGCUAACUACGUG
rnacentral:rRNA from 1 species